GACGAACGCUGGCGGCGUGCUUAACACAUGCAAGUCGAACGGAAAGGCCCUGCUUUUGUGGGGUGCUCGAGUGGCGAACGGGUGAGUAACACGUGAGUAACCUGCCCUUGACUUUGGGAUAACUUCAGGAAACUGGGGCUAAUACCUGAUAGGAGCUCCUGCUGCAUGGUGGGGGUUGGAAAGUUUCGGCGGUUGGGGAUGGACUCGCGGCUUAUCAGCUUGUUGGUGGGGUAGUGGCUUACCAAGGCUUUGACGGGUAGCCGGCCUGAGAGGGUGACCGGCCACAUUGGGACUGAGAUACGGACCAGACUCCUACGGGAGGCAGCAGUGGGGAAUAUUGCACAAUGGGCGGAAGCCUGAUGCAGAAACGCCGCGUGCGGGAUGACGGCCUUCGGGUUGUAAACCGCUUUCGCCUGUGACGAAGCGUGAGUGACGGUAAUGGGUAAAGAAGCACCGGCUAACUACGUG
rnacentral:rRNA from 1 species